GGCUCAGGAUGAACGCUAGCUACAGGCUUAACACAUGCAAGUCNCGGGGUAACAUCUGGUAGAGCUUGCUCUUCCAGGAUGACGACCGGCGCACGGGUGAGUAACGCGUAUCCAACCUGGCCCAUACCACGGGAUAGCCCGUCGAAAGGCGGAUUAAUACCGUAUGCUGUCAUUAAGAUGCAUAUAUUGAUGACGAAAGGACUGGCGGUAUGGGAUGGGGAUGCGUCUGAUUAGCUUGUUGGCGGGGUAACGGCCCACCAAGGCGACGAUCAGUAGGGGGUUCUGAGAGGAAGGUCCCCCACAUUGGAACUGAGACACGGUCCAAACUCCUACGGGAGGCAGCAGUGAGGAAUAUUGGGUCAAUGGGCGAGAGCCUGAACCAGCCAAGUAGCGUGCAGGACGACGGCCCUAUGGGUUGUAAACUGCUUUUAUGCGGGGAUAAAGUGGGCCACGCGUGGCCUUUUGCAGGUACCGCAUGAAUAAGGACCGGCUAAUUCCGUG
rnacentral:rRNA from 1 species